rnacentral:rRNA from 1 species
UGAGUAACCUGCCCUUAACUCUGGGAUAAGCCUGGGGAAACUGGGUCUAAUACCGGAUAUGACUCCUCAUCGCAUGGUGGGGGGUGGAAAGCUUUAUUGUGGUUUUGGAUGGACUCGCGGCCUAUCAGUUUGUUGGUGAGGUAAUGGCUCACCAAGGCGACGACGGGUAGCCGGCCUGAGAGGGUGACCGGCCACACUGGGACUGAGACACGGCCCAGACUCCAACGGGAGGCAG